GCAGAGAUGCCAGAGUGUUGUUAUAUGGGUUUGGUUUAGGUCCAGAAUAGGAUGGGAGCAUCUCUCUGGC
rnacentral:tRNA from 1 species